rnacentral:lncRNA from 1 species
CCUCCUCCCCUGUUCCGCAGGCAGCAGGUUAGAAGCUCGAGCUGGUUCAGUCACUCCAUGUGAACACGAGCAGGGGCUUGCCCGCCUUCCCUGCCCAGACCCAUCUCACUCCAGACCCUGGCUGAGCAAAUGGAGGUGAAGGUGUCCAGGACUCGGUUUCAUCAGCAGAGGGACAGAGGAGGGGGUUGCAAAGAAGUCACAGCACCUACUUCAUUCUCCUUGGAAAACAUGCCUUAAAAACGUCCUGAUAGGUGUCUUUGCUGGUAUACAGAAAAGAGUUUUGGAAAAAAAAGUGUUCCCUGGAAUACUAUCAACAUUUGAAAAAUUAAAAUUAUAAGAAUGAAUCGUGAAAUAAUAAGACUAGAAAACUGAUGAUGGUGUUACACAGAAUAUCCCCUAUGUGCCGGACACCGUGCCAACUGCUAUAUCUUUUUAAAAUUUAAUUUCAAAUUAAGAAAAUAACAUACAUACAUGGCUUUAAAAGUUAAUUAUUUCUAGAAUGCUUAUUAAAGGUGAAUCAGUCAGCCUGCCAUACCCGCCCCACCCCAACAAAUUGUUCCUACUAUCCAGAGGCAACCGCUUUGAACCCGUUUAGCAGUUUCUUUGCUUACUUGUCUCCACAUUUCUCAGCAGCAUGCUUACACUCCUGUUUCUCCAUUUUAGGUAUUGUGUCCUGACUUCCUUCUGCUGAAGAUGAGGAUUCAGUUCUCUCAUCCCCUCCUGGAAAACACACACACACACACACACAUGCACACCGCAAACUUUGCUUCCCUCCUCUUAAAAAUAUUCACAUAAUAUCUGGUGACGUCAAAACGACCAGCAGCCACAGUUCUGGGUUCUCAUCAUUCAGGAUUCCCCGGGAGAAGAGUGAUGUGGAAGCAAGAGGGCAGAGGACUCAUCAGUUACAGGUGAGAAAGACUGACCUACAUCGAGGCAGGGGGAUGAAUGGCCUUCCCUCCCCUGCCGCCCCGUGGUGUAAUAUAUCCGCUCAUCCAAGACUCGAUUUUAACCACAGACAACAAGAGGCCACAUUUCUACACUACAGAAGGUUGUUAAAAUUCCUGGAACAGAGACACUUUUUAAGAGACAAGAUUCGUGACGGUCUUUUCACAAGGAAGGAGAAGAUUUAUGGCAGGCAAAGGUUCUGAUGUGUGCUGUGUCCGGUGCCUUCCCUCCUCAGGAUGGGCAGGAGGCGCGACACCAUGGGCGUCUGGCUGGGUGAUCUCUUGAGGCAGCUCUGGUUUCCUUUGUUCAGGCUGCUUCAAGCCCGGAAAGGCCAGAAUAAAGUCGCCCUGAGCGGCA